rnacentral:rRNA from 1 species
GACGAGUCUCACGAACGUUAUUCGGAAUUACUGGGCUUAAAGGGUGCGUAGGCGGUGGAGUAAGUCGGAUGUGAAAUACCUUAGCUUAACUAGGGAACUGCACUCGAUACUACUUUGCUAGAGUAAGACAGAGGUGAGUGGAACUGAGGGUGGAGCGGUGAAAUGCGUUGAUAUCCUCAGGAACACCGGUGGCGAAGGCGACUCACUGGGUCUUUACUGACGCUGAUGCACGAAAGCGUGGGGAGCAAACAGG